GCCCGCGGGACCCGAAGGCCCAGCCGGGCUGCAAGCCAUCCGGGCCUCCGGGGGGCGCCGGGCAGACCCCGAUCCUCCCCAGGGUGUCCCCCUAAGCGCGGCGCAGCGGACGAGCGGCCCCCUCUGGCCCUGCUGAGGCUCGGCUGGGCGGCAGACACCUGCCAAAGCGACCUGGGGACGGCGGGGUCGGAGCAAUGUACUUGGGGUUCCUGCUGUGGCCCAGUGGAUAAAGAAUCUGACUGCAGCGGCUCGGGUGGAUGCUGAGCACAAGUUUGAUUCCCAGCCAAAGCAGUGGGUUAAAGGAUGCCACGUUGCAGUGGUUGUGAUGCAAGUCACAAUUUCGGCUCAGAUUCUAUUCUGGCCUGGGAACUUCCAUAUGCCAUGGGUACAGCCAUAAGAAAAGCAAGCAAGCAAGCAAUGUACUUUCGUGUUGUUCAGGCCAAGUGUUUAAACAAUGACAUUGCAAAGGCUGCACCCAAAGGAAGAUAACAGGACAAGAGGAGCCAGAGAGAGAGGAGCGGCUGUCCCAGGCCAGGGAAAGAGUGAACUUUCUGGCAGACUGUCAGAAGAACCACCUCAUCGUGUGUCUCUUUAUAGGAAAAUUGUCAACCGGUCAGGAGGACUGUGGAAAGUCUGGGAUGAAGCAAGAGCCCCCCUUUGUGACUGCCCUCUCCUCCACACUCCCCUGCAGCUCUGGGUCUUUUCAUAAAGUCUUCCUUCCCUUUGGUGUUGCCCCAGAAGAGCCAGGAGUCAGGGUUUCUCAGGAAAUGGUUUAUUGAGGACUACUCGUAGGAUGAGGAGAUGAGGAAAACAGGAUACAGGAGAACAAGCCCCCAAGCAGGUGGCCAAGCCUGAAACUAACUUCCCACUUCAGUGCCAGGGGGGCAGCUCUUUAUACCCCAUCCCUGCUCCUGCCCCAUUCCCACCCCAGCCUCUUUGUCAGGGAGCCAGACGACAUGUCUCCAGGCAAAGGUACAGCCUUUGACAGCCAGUCUUUACAGCCGCUGCUGGAAAGGGGAUCCCAGCUAAGGAAAGAGGUUCCAGAAAGGAGAGCAUCUUCAACUGCAUGACUCAGUCUCGGAAGAAACUUCCUUAGUCUGUUUCUCCUUUCUCCGUUCUUCCUAUUGAUUGCUUUAGUCUAGGUUUUAAGGAGUUUGGAGGGGGUUGUUUUUGUUUCUUUCUUUUUUUUUUUUUUAAUUUGAGCUUUUAUACCAGUCUGCUUCUAAUUAAUUUUCAAACCAACACAAGAAUUUUUUUUCUCAAACGCAAAUCAGAUCAGAUUAUUGCCCGGUUCUAAAACUUCAAGGAAACCCCACUGUUUAUAGAAAAAGAGGGAGAGUCUUAACAUCACAUGACUCUUUUAAAAUAAUUUUCAUACAUUUAUUAUUUUUCCUCCUCAAAGCAACUCCUCUGAAGUGGGUAUUAUUAUCCACUUAUUACGUAUGUGAAAACUGAAAUUCAGAAAGGGAGCUUGCUCACAUGCACGAAGCAUAAAUGACAGUACAGGUAUAAUUUCAAGUGAAGUCUCCCUCCAAGUUCUCCACUCUUUGUACUUGAUUUUAUCUAACAGUCAGCAUUUCUCAAAAGUUGAACCCAUCCACUCUGCUCACUGUGUUUCCCCCAUGCAACCUAUGCUAUAGUCCAGGCUGCCACAUAUAAUUGGUCAGGUUGUGCACUGCACAAAGUUACCACAUUUUGAGGAACAUUGUUCAAAGCAGAGGCAUAUUUGCUAUUUUGAAAUAUCUCUGAAUUUUAUUACGCUUUUGUUGGCUUGGAAGACAGGAGAUUUGUGUAUUUAUUACGAUAUUUUUUUCAAAUGAAAGAAUGGGUCUUUUGCAAAAGGUUAGAUAUAUACUAGCUGCUUUGACUUAUGAAGGAAGAUUAACUCUGAUAAUGAAUAGUACCUAAAAUAACUUGGGUUUUUAAAUAAGAACCUGGUUUUCUGGCACACUGAUCAGAGUAUAUCGUUAAGUUUUACAAACACAGUCAGUCAAUUCUCGAUGUUUGUGGACUCCACAUUUGCAAAUUCAUCUACUCACCAAAAUUUAUUCACAACCCCAAAAUCAAUACUCACGGAGUUUUCUCAGUCUUUCACAGACGUGCACAGAACAGUAAGAAAUCUGAGUCAACCACAUGUUCCCAGCUGAAAUCAAACAAAGCGGAGCUCUGCUUUCUUGUUUCAGCUCUCAAGCUGUAAACAAGUGUCCUUUUUGUGGUUUAUUUAGUUCCACUUUUUUUUUUUUUGAAUUUUUGUGGUGUGUGUGUGUGUGUGUGUGUAAUUUUGAUAUUUAAAAUGGCUUCCAGGCAUAGUGCUGAGGUGCUGUGCACUUUUCUUAAGCCAAAAAGGUUGUGAUGUGCCUUACAGAGAAAACAGCAUGUUAGCUAAGCUUCAUUUAGGUAUGAAUUACAGUGCUGUUGACGCCAUGAGUUCAGUGUUAAUGAGUCAACAACGUAUAUUAAGCAGCGUCUUUAAACAGAAACACACAUAAAAUAAGGUCCUUAUUGACCAGUUAGUGAAGAUGCUAUGACAAAAAGCUCAGUCACUAAGCCUGUAUUUCCCCUGGGAGCAGUGGAUCGGUGUUGGCUAAUUCAGUGUUUAAAGCAACUGUAUAGAAUAUACACUGUGAAUAACAGGAAUCUACUGUAUUCUACUGGAAUUAGCCACUGAUUACAUUUGAUACUCACAUUGCAGUUUGAUCAUCUGCUGUUUGUUUUUUGUUCAGGAUGGUAUCUUUGAACUUCCAAUUUAAAUCUACAAGUAUCUUCAUUAUGACCACUGCCAUUAAAUAACAUGAUAAAGAGAUCAUUAAAUGGGAUAAGCCAAAAGUACUUCCUGACAAUUCAGAUACAUAACCAUGUAAUACAAAAUUUUUAAUUACAUAUACUUAUUAAAAAUGAUGCUAUAAAACUGGAUUGUGAUGAUCAUUGUACAACUAUAAAUGUAAUAAAGUCAUUGAGUAAUAAAAAAUAAAAAUAAAAAAUUAUCCACCUGAAGUAAAAAUAGAUUGUUCCACAACAAUCCAUAGGUGCAAAGUUUUGGAAGUUUAUCACCCAGGAUGAAAUGAAAAAAAAUCUGUGAAUCUUUGUUCAUUUUUCCUGUCUCAAAGUAUUUUUUAUUCUACCUAUAUUUUAAACUUUUGGGGGACGAAAAAAUGACAUGAAGAAUAAAAACAAGUUC
rnacentral:lncRNA from 1 species